rnacentral:pre_miRNA from 1 species
AGUCGUGCCUGGCUCCCUGUAUGCCACAAGAAAACAUCGAUUUAGUUACAAAAUCGAUCACUAGUGGCGUACAGAGUAGUCAAGCAUGACC